UGGAGAAUACAUACCAAAUAUUAAGUCUUUAUCUUUCUUCGUUAUGGUGAAGGUUCAAGUUUGCCGACAAAAAAGCCAUAUUUAGCGUAUAGGUCACAGUCAAGGUCACAAGGUCAUUGACUAUGGUGUCAUUUAAAAAGCUUAUUCAGUGGUGUAUACAUACCAAGUAUGAAGUCUCUAUCUUUUAUGGUUCAAAAGUUAUGACGAAGGUUAAAGUUUGCACAAAAAAAAUAGUUUAGCAUAUGAGUCACAGUCAAGGUCACAAGGUCAUUGACUUUCAUGUCAUUUGAAAGAAAUUAGUUAAUAAAGUAUGCACACCAGAUAUUAAGUCUCAACUAUUCAUGGUUCAAAACUGGGUCAGUUUUUUAUCCUCCAGGGGACAGCAUGUCAGACACGGGGAGUCCCUACUUUGAUCUGUCUGGGAUGUCCUUCUCCACCCUGGACAGAGAUAACGACGUGUCUGGAGGGAGCUGCGCUGUGGAUUACGGAGGAGGAGGUGGCUGGUGGUAUAACAGGUGUCACGACGCCUACCUUAACGGACCGUGGUCCUCAGGAGACUGGACGAAGCCGUGGUAUCCAACUGUACGGAGAGGGGCGGACGUCAGAGAGACCAAGAUGAUGAUCAGACGUCAUUAAAAUUAGCAUUCAAAGGAGGAAAAUUUGAUGAUGUUUUGGAGAACCGUCCGCGUUUGCUCUGCUCCAAUUUUGUAUUGUUCUGUGGAGUUUGAUUUUGAAUACUGUUCCGUUAUCUCCAUAUCCUUCAUGAAUAAUAAAAAAAGAACUUUAUAAUAAAAAAUCACAAAUAAAGAAUUUUCAUAAAAUGUACACUUUUAUUACAUUUUAUAGUAUUCUUUUAUUCAUAGCAAUGUUCUAUAAAUUCCGAAUUUAUAUAAAUGUUUUUUAACAAAUUAUGCGUCCUUGUGAAAGGAUAUCCUUUCCUGGGUCCUGUUGGACAAAAAUGUAGAAUUUUAUCAUUAUCAUUGUCUGUUGAUGCAUUUUGAAUAAACUUAGGUAAGGAA